GACGAACGCUGGCGGCGUGCCUAACACAUGCAAGUCGAGCGAUGAAGUUUCUUCGGAAACGGAUUAGCGGCGGACGGGUGAGUAACACGUGGGCAACCUGCCUUAUAGAGAGGAAUAGCCUUCCGAAAGGGAGAUUAAUACCUCAUAAGAUUGUAGCUUCGCAUGAAGUAGCAAUUAAAGGAGUAAUCCGCUAUAAGAUGGGCCCGCGGCGCAUUAGCUAGUUGGUGAGGUAACGGCUCACCAAGGCCACGAUGCGUAGCCGACCUGAGAGGGUGAUCGGGCACAUUGGGACUGAGACACGGCCCAGACUCCUACGGGAGGCAGCGGUGGGGAAUAUUGCACAAUGGGGGAAACCCUGAUGCAGCAACGCCGCGUGAGUGAUGACGGCCUUCGGGUUGUAAAGCGCUUUUAUGGAGGACGAGGAAGGACGGUACUUCAAGAAUAAGGAUCGGCUAACUACGUGCCAGCCGCCGCCGUAAUAC
rnacentral:rRNA from 1 species